rnacentral:rRNA from 1 species
GACGAACGCUGGCGGCGUGCUUAACACAUGCAAGUCGAACGCUGAAGCUCAGCUUUUGUUGGGUGGAUGAGUGGCGAACGGGUGAGUAACACGUGAGUAACCUGCCCCUUACUUUCCUGGAUAACUGCUCGAAAGGGUAGCUAAUACGGGAUAUUCUGACCAGUCUGCAUGGGUUGGUUUGGAAAGGUUGUUUUUCUGGUAAGGGAUGGGCUCGCGGCCUAUCAGCUUGUUGGUGGGGUGAUGGCCUACCAAGGCUUUGACGGGUAGCCGGCCUGAGAGGGUGGACGGUCACACUGGGACUGAGAUACGGCCCAGACUCCUACGGGAGGCAGCAGUGGGGAAUAUUGCACAAUGGGCGCAAGCCUGAUGCAGCGACGCCGCGUGAGGGAUGAAGGCCUUCGGGUUGUAAACCUCUUUCGUCAGGGAACAAGGCACUGCUUUGGUGGUGUUGAGGGUACCUGGAUAAGAAGCGCCGGCUAACUACGUGCCAGCAGCCGCGGUAAUACGUAGGGCGCAAGCGUUGUCCGGAAUUAUUGGGCGUAAAGAGCUCGUAGGCGGCUGGUCGCGUCUGUCGUGAAAACUUCCGGCUCAACCGGGGGGCUUGCGGUGGGUACGGGCCGGCUAGAGUGCGGUAGGGGUAACUGGAACUCCUGGUGUAGCGGUGGAAUGCGCAUAUAUCACGAAGAACACCGAUGGCGAAUGCAGGUUACUGGGCCGUUACUGACGCUGAGGAGCGAAAGCGUGGGGAGCGAACAGG